AUUCAAUUAUCAAUACAGCGGUUGAUGCAACCUACAAGAGAUGUUUAUAGGUUUCCGAUACUUUAAAUGCUUAAGAAUUAAAUAAAUCUACAAUGUUGGGUAUAUCCAUGCCAUUUAUAGAGUCUGAUAAAACCAAAGCCGUGACCAGAAUUAUGAAUUUGUAAAACUGUUAUAGGGAAAACAGGGAACAUGUCUGAUAUAUAUUGAAUUUUGAAGAGGGAGGAAAUGAUAUCAAUGAAGACCAACAGGGACAUGGAUAUUUACAAGAGACAGUUUAGAUCGCAGGAAUUUGCUCGUGAGCUCAACAAGCGCGAGCAGCGUCGGCUAGACCAAGAGGUCGGGGGGAGGGGAGGUAUCGAGGCCGAGUACAGAUUUAAUCUGGACAAGGUCAACCAAGAACGCAAGGAAAUAGAAAAGGAAUUGAACAAAAUUCGAGGCGGCGUUCAUAAACAACUUGGCCAUCAUGCUACCCUGUCAAGCGACAAGAAAUUUCAUCAUCCAAAAUUCAAAGAAUUGGGAAUGAAAGACGUCAGCAGGUAGGAGUCCAAGACUGCAAAGAAAAGCUCCCCCGGAGAACAACUCACGCGGGAGGGACUCCAGUCCAAUGAACGCGGAGAUGCUUAUUCAGUAUCUUCAGAGUUUCAAUGAAGCGCAUGCGCAAGAACAUAAUGAUCUUCUAGAUGGGAUCAAAGGUUCAGGUCGCAUCAAUCAAAAUAAAUAUAAUGAUCAUCCACAUGUGCAAAUAAAUCCAUUGAUAAUAUCAGAUCAGCCGAAGCCUAGUGAAGCGGAAAACUCAAAUGACUUUGAGGAACAGAAGCAAUAUAUACAAACAUUAAGUGACAGUCAGUCGCAGGACGUGCCAUCUAACGAGCCAACUGGUACGAAGGAGCCCUCUCUACAAAUAUCCAGAAACGAAAGUGGAGAGAUUACUACGGAGAUGAGUUCCCCUCGGCACAGUCCCGUCAGACGGAUGUCUUUAGACAAGGGCAGGCAUAUAGUGCCAGGAACCAGUCCUCCGAAACACAGCGCUGUCAGGCGGCUGUCGCUAGACAAAGGGAAGGGUUCCAACGAGGAUAUUCGUGGUCAUCCAACUUCAGCAAGAAAGUCGCCUACAGAGAAAGGGAAAUUCCAUCAUGAUGACUUUCAUGGUCAUCUAACGCAUCCAACUUCAGCAAGAAGAGCGUCUAUAGAGAAGGGGAAGUUCAAUCAUGAUGCAGUUCAUGGUCAUUUAACGCAUCCAACUUCGGCCAGGAGAUUUUCUUUAGACAAAGGGAGAAUCCAUCAUGAUGAUGCUCGUGGUCACCCAACUUCAGCUAGAAGGUCGUCUAUGGAGAAAGGAUCACACCAUCCUCCCGUGAUAGUUAACGAAGAAAAGAUUCCUUAUUCGCCAGUUGAGGACCCAAAAACUGUGAUAGAGAUUGAGAAUGCUGUGAAAGAACUUGAGAUCGAGAGUGUGGAGACGCGAAAGGUGCCGACAGAGGAGGAGCAGCAGAAACCUAGCAAAGUCGCCAUCGGUCCGGAGUCGUUCAAUCCGGACGGGUCACUGAAGACUAUGUACACAGCGCCCCCUUUUGAACAGACGUGGGAGGAGGCGAAAAAGGCUCGCUACAUCAGGACCCGCGAGCCGUUAGAAAGGGACAGACAGUUAACGACCAACGAAAUAUUCGACAAAACCUCAUAAACUUUGGAAUUUAAGCCUUCUAGAUAUUCAGGCUAGUCAUAUGUGAUCUAUUUUUUAUUUCUUUGUUAUAUUUAAAUUUUCAUAAUGAUACAACUUUAACCCAUUUUGAUUUAAUGACUUGACUUCCAAAAACAAUGUUAUCGGUCUAACCGAUCGUUUGAUUGGAGGUUACGUGUGUUUUGCAUUGGAGUACUUCCAUUUUACGUACAAAAUAUUUUUGUACUUUGUAUUGCAUUACGUUUUGCCAAGUAAACAAGUUACUAAG
rnacentral:misc_RNA from 1 species